rnacentral:rRNA from 1 species
CGCGUAGGCGGUCUGCUAAGUUGGAUGUGAAAACUCUGGGCUUAACCCAGAGCCUGCAUUCAAUACUGACAGGCUAGAGUUCUGGAGGGGAUAGCGGAAUUCCUGGUGUAGCGGUGAAAUGCGUAGAUAUCAGGAGGAACACCGGUGGCGAAGGCGGCUAUCUGGACAGAAACUGACGCUGAGGCGCGAAAGCUAGGGAGCAAACA